ACCGUUAUCUUCUAACUGGAAUAGGAAGCCAGAAUUUCAAUCUGGGCAAUAUGGGUUCGAGUCCCAUUGACGGUA
rnacentral:tRNA from 2 species